GGUGGUAGCAACGACGACGACGAAGACGGUGGUGGUAACCGGCCAGAGCCGGAUGCACAUCUGCAGGUGCAAGAGGCGCUAACUCGAGGCUCGUCCGUGAGAGAACUCGCUUAUCUCGCAGGGUUUCUCAAAUCGCGAUGCCUCUUUGAUGAAUACGAACGAAGAGCGAAGAGAAAGAAGAACGAGAGUACAUAAUUUAAACGCGAACAAAGGCGAGCGUGUAAUUUCGCCUCCGAGACGAGGCCAAGAUAGCAGCUGAAGAUUCAUUUCGCAUCGCCGUAGAAAUUUCGUUAGAAACACAAGCUGUAAGGCACGCCCUCGCAAAACCUUCGCUGUUCAGAUGCCCUUCGCUACCUGGCCAGUCUGCCUCGAAUCCUUGGACGUGGUUGCCUCUCUGGUCGUGACCAUCUUUACUUUCAUCUCGUGAACGAUGGAAGGGCUCUGACAUAUGCAAGCUCCACAUAUCACGGGCAGAGAUUGACGGUGAACAAAUUUGAAGAUUUUAUAGCCUGCACGGAGAGAUUUACAACUCGCGCGCACGCAGAUGACAUACCCGCAUCAGGCGACAAAGCGUUCAUGACGGAUGGGAGGGAUAAUAGAAACUCUGAGAAAGAGAGAAGAGAAGCCCCGCGUUUCUAUCAUCCUAGAAAGGCGUUCAAGUUGACGCCGUUACAUUUUGAAGAACGCUUAACGAUGAUGCCCGGCCGUGCAACUCACAAGGCGUCUUACUCGAAAUUAACGGGGGACUCGGUGUGAGAUGAAGAGAGGUAUCGUGCUGAAUCUACUUGGGACUUGAACCGACGAUGUCAGAACUUUCGACGGUAUUUACCGUCGGUGAAGAGGAGGAGGAGUCGCGCCUAAUUAUCGCGAGUAUCUUACAUCACUGCGUGCGCUGAGGGGAUAGAUGGAGAUAAAGAGAAGAGAGCAGAUCAACAGCGACGGUUUUAGUAAAUGCAGAGUCUAAAAGCGUGAAACAUUAGUACAUAACAAAUUGUUGGAACUUUCAUUUAAUUGAAAGACGGUUCUAAUGGCAUAAUUAAACUAGAAUAAUAAUAAUAAAUGCUAAGUUGUAAAAAGAUGGAAAAGUUAAAUUAGAC